AAUGUUAUUUGAUGUGUGAUCGUCCCUUUCUUAACAAGUAAAAUAAAAAACUUACAACUUUUUGAAAUAUUCUUCGCCAAGGCUGCACUAAAGAUCCCAAAAGUGUGCGACACAAGGUGGCUGUCAAUUGAAUUGACAGUAUCACGAAUACUGCAACAAUGGGAAGAGCUGAAACUCCAUUUUAACCUAGCAGCGAGCAAGGAAAAAUGCCAUAAAGCGGAUUCUUGCAUCAAAUGUUCAAUGACAAGAACUACGCAUAUUUACUUUUUUAAAUCCAAUAUUGUCAGAGUUGCAAAGAGUAAAUAAGUGCUAACAGAGCAGCAACACAAAUGGCACGGAAUUAUUAAAUGAUUUGACAUUGACCAUUCAAUCAUUGAUAUAGAUGUGGAUUUGUUGGAAACGGAGGAUAUCGAAAGAUAUGUCCACGGUGAUCUGGUGCAAGGAUAUGACUUUGAGAAACAUAUGAAAUUAAUGAAUUUGGAUCCAUUAUCCGAAAAAGAGAUUCGAGACUGCUGCUCUAAAUUUUUAGUUGAGCUUAUUAAGCAACUCAAACAGAGGCUUCCAGAAAACUAUAAGUUAUUGAAGCAGAUUGAUAUUUUUUCUGUGAACAAUAUGUUUCGCCACAUUGUCACAAGACAUUAUUCUAUUAUUGGAAGGGCUUAGUUGCCAAAAUAUAGGGAAAAAAAUUCAUUUUGUAAAUUGGCAAAAUACGUACAGCACUAAAAAAUUUUGAAUUGAAGUCAAUUCCUAUAUGGAUUCUAGAGGCAUCAACACAUUUGCAGAGUUAGCUGGGGUUGCCAUUAAUAUACCAUAUUAUCGUUGCCUUGGUCCAACGCCGAAGUAGAGCGCAUAUUUAAUCAAGUCAGCCUUGUCAAGUGUAAACUGCGAAAUAGAUUACAUUUGAGUACACUUAACCGUAUACUUCACGUAAGAUAUGGCUCACGUGGACUUGACAAAUGUUGCUAUACGUAUAAGCUGCCUAAUAAAUUCCUAAAAAUUAUAGGAACAGGAUUAACAAAUGAGAAUAAAAAUGAGGAAAAUUACGACUGUAUUGACGAAAUUCUGAAAAUAUUGUGAAGAUCAGAGCAGCUGCUGUUCAAAUUCUAUAUAAAAUGUUUUAAUAUUUCGUGAGCUCGCCCCGUGCC